GACGAACGCUGGCGGCGUGCCUAAUACAUGCCAGUCGAGCGGACUGAUUAAGAGCUUGCUCUUAUGACGUUAGCGGCGGACGGGUGAGUAACACGUGGGCAACCUGCCCUGUAGAUCGGGAUAACACCGAGAAAUCGGUGCUAAUACCGGGUAAUAUCUGAGAUCACAUGAUCUUAGGUUAAAAGAUGGCUCCGGCUAUCACUACAGGAUGGGCCCGCGGCGCAUUAGCUAGUUGGUAAGGUAAUGGCUUACCAAGGCGACGAUGCGUAGCCGACCUGAGAGGGUGAUCGGCCACACUGGGACUGGGAAACGGCCCAGACUCCUACGGGAGGCAGCAGUAGGGAAUCUUCCGCAAUGGACGAAAGUCUGACGGAGCAACGCCGCGUGAGUGAUGAAGGGUUUCGGCUCGUAAAGCUCUGUUGUUAGGGAAGAAACAGUACCGAACGAACUAGGUCGGUACCUUGACGGUACCUAACCAGAAAGCCACGGCUAACUACGUG
rnacentral:rRNA from 1 species